UAAUUGUUGUUUGGAGUAGAAAUGAAAAGUUGAAGAAUGUUUAAUCAGCUCACAAAGUUGUCAGAGGGUUUUAAUAACUUGCUAUAACGUGAUAAAACAGAAAUUCUGCUAACCUUAGAGAAGAGGCUUAAGAGUCAUGUAGGAAGUUGAAUGACCUUAAUAUUGUUGUAUAAUGAAAACUCAUCACAAGAAAGGAACACACUUAUAAAUCCCUUCACACCGCAGCCCCGGUGAACAAUGAACAAAAUGGGAAAAUGCAAAGGCAGCUAGCAAAGAAUGCUAAAGAGAGGUAGAGAACCAUGCAACAAGGAAAGAAAAGAAUCAUUCCCAAAUUUACAAAUAAUGGGCAACAGGUCAUCUUGCAGAGAGCCUUGGAGCAAAACACUCUUCAUCACAGUUGAAAAACAGUUUGAUUUCCUUUGGAGCCUCAAACCGAGUCUCAAGUGCUCCUGCCGAGUGACAGAGUCUCCAGUAUCAGGAAGCAGCUACACAGAGCAGAACAGGGCAGGACAGUAUCUGCAUAGGACCCACGAAGAGAAUUCGCUAAACCGGGACACAACCAAAAGGAAAUCCUGGUGGGACCAGAGAAAUGACCAUUUCACAGCCCUGCUCAGGGUCUGCUUCUGGGGACACCCAACUGAGACCCCAGGAAAAGAUAAGAUGAUUUCAAAAAUCAAGUUGGAGUUGGCAUUAGGAGAAAAAAAGAAUGGUUUCUUGCUGCUUUUCCAGUCAACACAUCAACCACACUGGUAAUUCAGGUUUUACUCAUAAUGAAGUUUCCUGAUUAGAACCUGGGGACAGGAGGUAGUGGGGUUUUCCAUUUUCUUCUGCAUACUCAUCACAUCUUGAAACUGAAUCUGCAUAGAGUCAGAUGCUAAUCACACAACUCUUCUGACUUCUUCCUGCCUAGUGAAUUUUCCACUUCCCCCCAUGGUGCCCUCAAAGUGAGAUGAAUUGUUCAUGGGGGCAGAGCUUGCAUGAUGCACAGUUCAUAAAGUUGGGGUCGGUGGCUAGUCUAUGUCAGGGUAGCUAGCUCCCAACAGCCCUACUUACUUUGUUCGUCCAUUUUCUCUUUAAAGCAUAACUUACAUGCAGUGAAAUUUUCAUCUAUAGCUUUGACACUUCUGUUUUGCUUUUUAUUUAUUGUUUUAAUGUUUUUAUUUAUUUUCGAGACAGAGAGAGA
rnacentral:lncRNA from 1 species